rnacentral:rRNA from 1 species
UACCAGCACCCCGAGUGGUCGGGACGAUUAUUGGGCCUAAAGCAUCCGUAGCCGGUCAUGCAAGUCUUCCGUUAAAUCCACCCGCUCAACGGUUGGGCUGCGGAGGAUACUACGUGGCUAGGAGGCGGGAGAGGCAAGCGGUACUCAGUGGGUAGGGGUAAAAUCCUUUGAUCCAUUGAAGACCACCAGUGGCGAAGGCGGCUUGCCAGAACGCGCUCGACGGUGAGGGAUGAAAGCUGGGGGAGCAAAC